rnacentral:rRNA from 1 species
CAGUAGCCGCGGGAAUACGAAGGGGGCUAGCGUUGCUCGGAAUGACUGGGCGUAAAGGGCGCGUAGGCGGUUUUGACAGUCAGAUGUGAAAUUCCUGGGCUUAACCUGGGGGCUGCAUUUGAGACGUCAAGACUAGAGUGUGAGAGAGGGUUGUGGAAUUCCCAGUGUAGAGGUGAAAUUCGUAGAUAUUGGGAAGAACACCAGUGGCGAAGGCGGCAACCUGGCUCAUUACUGACGCUGAGGCGCGAAAGCGUGGGGAGCAAACAGGAUUAGAUACCCCAGUAGUCCCUGUCUCUUAUAC